rnacentral:misc_RNA from 1 species
GGCGGCGAGCUCGGGCGGC